rnacentral:piRNA from 1 species
AAGGAGGAACCACAAGUCUAUGGACACA